CNGUCCCGUAGUGUAGCGGUUAUCACGUCGCCCUGUCACGGCGAAGAUCGCGGGUUCGAUUCCCGUCGGGACCGU
rnacentral:tRNA from 1 species